UACGUAGGGGGCGAGCGUUGUCCGGAUUUACUGGGCGUAAAGCGCGUGUAGGCGGGAGAUUAAGUCGGGUGUGAAAGCCCGGGGCUCAACCCCGGGAUGCCGCCCGAGACUGGUCUCCUUGAGGACGGAAGAGGGGAGUGGAAUUCUUGGUGUAGCAGUGAAAUGCGUAGAUAUCAAGAGGAACACCAGUGGCGAAGGCGAGUCCCUGGACAACACCUGACACUGAGGCACGAAAGCUAGGGGAGCAAACAGG
rnacentral:rRNA from 1 species